CCGUGGGCAGAGGUUCUGUGUCGUGUUGGUACCAGUUGCUCUUGGCAACCCUUUGGUUGCCCCUUGGGUCGCCCCCAGAGCUGCAGGAGGAACGGGGUGGAGGAGGAACGGGGUGAGCUGGGAAGGGCCAUGGUUGGUGCUGCCGGGGGGGACGUCCCUGGCCAAGGAACUGUCACCGUGUUUUGAACAAAAGUGUCGGUGAGACCAGGGAAAGAGCGUGAUGUACACAGAUACCUUAUCUGGCACUUCAUUGCCUAAGGGAAUUACAUUUGAGAGUCCUGUUCCUGGACAUAGAGAAGUCCAAGUCUGGUUUAGCUCACUUAGAGAUACAAGGCUUAAGUCACAGAGGUUUGUUGAGUCACCGAAGUAUUUUGAGGAUAGAAAACAAUCAUCAAUCUGAAACUAAAGCUGCAGCUGUCAAAAA